GAGAUUGUGCCACUGCACUCCAGCCUGGGUGACAAGAGCGAGACUUUGUCUCUAAAUAAAAUAAAUAAAAAUAAAUAAGGAUUGCCAAGUGCACAGAGUUCUCCAUGGGAAGCUGUCACCUCCUUUCACAGGGUUUGUGAGACCCUGCUUGUAUUUACUGGUCUCAGCCUUCCCCACUCCUGCCCUCCACAUUCCCCAUCGCACUCCCCUUUUCCCCAACCCCUUUCACCCUUAUAUCUGUUCACCCUUCAGGCUGCCUCCUGCCCCGGAGUGGGGGGAUCCCCUGCUGUACCUCCUCUUAGCAUCCGGAUUUGCCAGGUGGGGGACACUUUGUGGUCCGCGUUUGCCUCCUGCUGGCCCUCCUGGCUAGCAUGAAGGUGCCGGGAGGCCGGGAUCUCGUCAUCUUGUUGGCCGUGGUAUCCCCAGCCUGGUGGAGGAGGAGCUGUGGUGCUUUGGGUAGAGGGAGCCAAGUGCUUCCUUCCCGCCUGGGUGGGCCGCUCCGCCAGGUACCUGUGUUGCUGCAAGCCCGACUGGCUAAGUGGAUGGCUGUUGGAAAAUGUUGAGUGUAAAAUUUAGCCAGGGGAUUUGACUUUUAGUGGGGAGAAAAAUGAAAAGGCCUAGAGAAGGCAGGAUUAUGGGAAGAGCGCAGCUCAGUAAGGUUAAGUCAAACACGUCUUUUCCACUCACUCCAGGAGCCUCGUUCCAGGUGCAGGAGGCAGUAGCUGCUGCAGAGGAAGAAAGGGAGGCUUCCCUCAGGCCCCGGCUUGGGUCCUCCGGGCAUUCUCUGUUUCCUCCACCCCUUCCAUCUCUUCCUCCUGCGUUCUCAGCUCAGCUCUUCACUCCUGAAAAGCUGUAGGGUGGGGGGUGGGGCUGGCUGUGGACCAGCUGCUGGGCACCCCUGGUGCAUUGCAGGGUGGAGGUGUGGGGGGAAGCCUUCUGUCCUGGCGCAGGUGGAAGUGCGGAAGUGCGUGAGUCUCAGAGCAAAGAGCAGCCCCAGGUUCCCGGGGAGUUAGAACUUCCUUGGGAUGCUUAGUUAUCCAUCGAAUCACCAGCUAGUGAGUUCUUAACUGGCUGCUUCUAAGUAUUGACUGCCUGUUUAGAAAACAGGUACUUAGGAAGUUUUAAAGGUUUUCCCGAAACAUUUUAGAUAUUUAUUUUCCAAAAUGUGUAUUAUACUCCACCUUUAGAGAGUGUCUGCCUCCUAUGCAGACACGAGAUGAGGCUCCAUCCCCCCUUCACUUCUGCGUCUGUGUAGUGUGCUGAUGGGCACGUUUGUUAAAUGGAAAGGACACAAUGGAAAUGUAAUUUAUGAUUUAGUCUGAAAGUUCACUUCGAAGAGCGUUUCCCCGGGGCUGUCUGUUGUGUGCAUGUAGGAAAGCGUCCUCAGAGCACUCAGAGAGGCCUGUUUUUGGGUAGUGGACGGUCCUUCAUGCGUGACCUCCCAGCGCACCCGAGCAGCAUCCCUCUUGGGGUUUCAGAAUUGUGGGAGCAGGACGCCCUCCCACUAGUCAGAUGGCCAAGGGCCUCCCUGAGGAAGCUGGGCCAGUUACCACAAGUGUGGAGCCCAAAGCCUCAACACUUCCCAAAAAAGUGCGACUCUGGACCCGGGUUUCUGAGACUCAGAAGCCGCGUUUGUUUAUGUUGGCUCUCACUGUCAGAUCCUUGUGCUGACUCCAGCGCGUUCAGUUGUGUCUCCAAGAACAAAUCAGGUGCUUGUGUUUGCAGAAAGCAGCGAAUCCCAAACUGACAGAUACCAUGCUGUGUUUUCAACUUCCCAGGCCAAACUCCUUUAGAAAGAAAAGUCCCACCGCUGCCUCCUGCUGAUACUCAGCCCCCAAGUGCGUGUCCAGCUGACCCACUGGUGUUUAUGUACUGUCGUGUUACCAGUUUUUUGGUUUCAAAUUCUUAACUCUUUGGCUACAUCUGGAUGAAAUUCUCAUGUCACAAAUUGUGUAGGAUGACAUUUUAAAAGUUGAGGUCAUAUUAGUGAUUAUACUUUAUCAGAAAUUAGAACAGUUUCCGGGGCUGUGAGCUCUGAGCUUAAGACGUCCCUAAGCGUGCGUUGCAGUGAACGCCUUCCUGCGUUUUCUGCGGAGCGUGCGCGCCUCCUUCUGGCCAGUCCUGAAAGCUGACUCAAGCUGCUCUGCUUCCGUUUGACGGUUCUCUUAAGAGAAUAGGCAGCCCUCUUACCUGCCUGCGGUAUUUAUCUGUGUGAUCUCAGACAGUAAAACUAACUCGGACAAGAGCCCCACAGAAUUGUUAUACCAUUAACAAUAUUUGGAAUAUAAAAGCAAAAGUUUUAGAUGAUCUUAAUUGUAUUUAAGUGCAGUUUUGAAAACAAGUUUUCAAAUCGUUGCUUAUGAUAAACAGGUGACAUUUGGAAAAGUUCCACUAGCCAUCGGAAGCCGAAGCACUUGAGUUACGAAGGAAGAGUACACCAGGUAGGAUAGAAAGAAACACAAAUGCGCACAAUAGUUUGCUCUGGGGGAAGCAGUAUUUCUUAAACUCAUAGUUCUUCUCAUCUGUCCCUGGAAAAUAAAGCAGUGUCUUAAAUGUGGAUUCUGCUCAGAACCUUUUCUUUAUAAAUUUGAGUAGUUGUCAUUUGGUGUGGUGGCAGCAGGCAUUUGAGGUUUUCAGCUGUGGAACAGAGAGUAAAACCAUCCAAAAUUGCAAAAUGAAGACUUCUUUCAUUUCUGCGCUGUGAUCCCAGUGGACAGCUACACAGUUUUUUUUAAAAAGCAUUUUCCUUCCACAUGAAAUACACUCAUCCGUUUGGUGUAUUUAAAACAUUUUAAAAACAAUCGAAGGGGGGAGUAGGGAGAUGUGAACUUUGGCGUUUUAAGAAGGCCAGGCUGUCUGUAGCCUCUUAUCGGGGCCACAUCUUGAUUGGGGGUGGGGGGGAGGUCUUUGCUGCUCAGGGCAGCACCCGACCACAUUCUGGUGGGUGUGCUCCGGAGCUCCUCUCGCAGCAGCUGGAGCAGCCGCCGCCCCACUGUGCUGCCGUCAAUCAUGUGGGUUUCAGUAAGUUUAGCAGAAUUCAUCACUUCAUGAAUCAGCUGCGGCCCCUCCUGGCGAAGGGACCAGCACUUGUUGUCUUUCAGGUGGACUGUCUCCAUGGAGAAGGGACUGCAGUGUCCUGAGAAAGCUGAUCCAGAUGACAGUUUGUCACCACGAGCAGCUGGAACAGGGAAUUCUUUAAUGGAAGUGGCCCUAACUAAAAAGCCUAGGGCUUAAAGAGUAAGCACUGGUCGUUUCUGUGCUUGCAGGGAGGGAUUCCAGCUCCUCACUUUCCCCAUUUAAAUUUUCCCAGGCCGCUUUUGUUUGGUUGGUAAGCGUGUUUACAUUCUCAAGGAGCACAAUUUGGCCUCCAUCCAGAAACAUAAAAACAGGUGAAAGGAAGCAAUGUGGUUCUGCACAUUUCUGCAAAUAAAGUCAAACCAGCGUGGCUCAGCAGUUUUACUGCCGCUUGGCCCUGGAGACUCUUCUUUGAGGCUGGUGACCUAAGAGCCUGCUGCUGGUCAUUUCUGCCUGGGAUCAGGCAGAGAGAGGGUAAUGACGAGAAGACUGAGGCUGGGGUGCUGCCCCAGGGCAGCUGGAACCCACACAGGAGAGUAACUAACACCUGUCUACUUGUGCCUCGUGUGAUGCAAGUUUAUUCUGCCAGCAAACAGCCAGCGACCAUUGCAUCCCUUGCGUGGUCCGGGCACUGUGCUGGUUGCUGGUCACUGGGAGAUGAGCCUAUGGCGCCUCCUGCCCUAUGGCUCCCACUAGUCCCUGGGGAGACCCGCAGGUGAAGCACAGUCAUCGUAGAGGGGCAAGAGGCUGUAGAGGGCGGGAUGGGCUUUCUGGGCCCACAGGGAGGACCCAGUCCCAUCGUCACAGAGCAGGUGGCUUUUGCCCGAGUGGAUUUGCCCCAUCGUGAGCCUGGAGGUGAGGGAGGCCGGAGGACAGCUCUCCUGGAGGCUGUUGGACAGCGAGGGCCUGUGUCUCAGGGUUGGCGUGAGGGUGGGUUUUUACAGGGCACAGAGUUGGUGAGGUAGGUGGGCUGGGGUCGGGUGGAGAAGGGUCUGCACGCUCAACUAAAAUACUAACAGGGUUUCCAGGGGCCCGAGCAGGUACACUUGCCAUUCUGUAAUUUAGUCUGGAAGAUGAGUCACAAAGAAGAUAGUGUAAGCAGAUAAAAUACAGGAUCCAAAGUUAGGUCUGAAUGUCAAAUAAGCAGCAAAUAUGUUUUUAGUGUGAGUCUGUCCCUGCUUUUGCAUUAUUCGUUGUUUAUCUGAAAUUCACAUUUAGUUAGGCAUGCCGUGUUUUAUUUGCUAAAUUUGGUCAUACUAAAAGGAGACCAGUGAACCACAGAAUGUAUUUAUCUCCCUAGUGUUACCCUUGGAGGUUAGCAAGCCAACCAAGAGGUGCACAUGAAUCAAAUCAAACAUGUAGCCAAAGAGAUGUCAGCCAAGCAAAGAUAAAAGUGUUAUGAAACCCUGUGAUACUUACAAACUGUUAGAUCGCGCUUUCUGUCCUAUGAAAUGAGUAUACAUGUGCUGGAUGCAUUGACUAUGCAAGAAGCUGAUCUUGUAAACUGAAUACAACUACUGUGUCAUCAUUUGAUCAACUUAAAACUAGUAUUCUAGCUGUAAGAAAAGUUGAAAUAGAACAGUAGUUUUGCGUGUCUUCAAAUAAAGAAGUGCUUUGUGGGAA